CUCGCUGGUGUCCCUGCAGCCACCCUGGUGGCUUCUGUCCAUUCUCCAAACUGCAACCAGAAAAACACCCAGUCGUAAGUGUGCCCCACUCCAGUGGCUUUCCAACCAGCACCCACAGGAAAAUCCAGCCCUGUUCCCAGGCCUUGCAGGCUGACAAGGAUCGAGCAAAAAACAGCCACCUUAAAAUGCCAUUUAGCCAAAUCCGAUUUAUUUUGCAAGAAAAUAAAAAGGUUUAACCCCCUGGAAUGGACGGGAAGGGGCAGGGGAGACAAGUUACCUUAAAGAAGAGUUCCAGGGAGGCCUUGGCAAAGCUCGUCCUCGUUAGUAUAGUGCCACAACUCUUGGGUUUACCGCUUGCAACUGAGCUUUUAAAACCAGGUGUGAACUCUUCAGGGUGAAGCCCCUGGUGUCUUAAAUGUUCCUUGUUAGAGCUGAAGAAGAGGAGCAGUUAGCAGGGAAAUGUCAAGGCAGACCCUAAUUUGAUGAUUGACAGCACAGCAAACGUGAGCAGGACAGUCAUUUGGAGGUUUCUGCGCCUGGCAUUGAGG
rnacentral:lncRNA from 1 species